UCCUCUUUACAGAGGCAGUUUGUUUCGAGUUCCCGGCAUUACCCGCUGGCAACAAAACAUGAGGGUUGCGCUCGUUGCGGGACUUAACCCAACAUUUCACAACACGGGCUGACGACAGCCAUGCAGCAUCUGUGGCGCACCCUCGAAGGUCACACGUUUCCGUGCGCUUGCAGCGCCAUGUCAAGCCCAGGUAAGGUUCUUCGCGUUGCAUCGAAUUAAAGAACACGAUCCACCGCUUGUGCGGGUCCCCGUCAAUUCCUUUGAGUUUUAGCCUUGCGGCCGUACUCCCCAGGCGGAGUGCUUAAUGCGUUAGCUGCGGCACAGAGAGGGUUGAGGACCUCCCCACACCUAGCACUCAACGUUUACGGCUGGGACUAC
rnacentral:misc_RNA from 1 species